AACACUUCUACUUUCACAAGCCUGAAUAAAAGAAUGAAGAAUUAAGUGUUGUUUCCAAACUUUAGAGGAAUAUGAAUUGGGGGAAAAGCUUUGUGAUGGCUCUUCUUUCACACAGAUGUUUCUCUUGGGCUUAGUUCAAAAGGAAGUAUUUGUUUAGCUUUCCAAAUUUGUCCACUAAUCUCUGUUUCAGAGGAAAGCUAUCCAGCCCCUCACAAGGAGAAGGCCACAUCUGAGGAAGCCAGCUCAGGACAGGACUGAAGUGCUUUACCUGGAUGAUUCAGAGCAGCUGCAUUGCACUGGAGUAGGCAUUCAGUCAAUUCCUCUCCUGGGCCAAGAGCUGCUCCUUUUUCAUGCUCUUUGAAGAAUUAUAACACUGUCAGCAAGCUAAUACAAUAUCAAAGUGCCACUGAUGGAUUUGGAGGCCCCAUCUCCUCAACUACAACUACAGGAUGCAUCCCGGGUCAGAUCCUUCAGGUGGUUUCUUAGAAUAAGGUUGAGACUGUUCUCAUCAGCCUCUGGAGCUCCUGAAGGAUGA
rnacentral:lncRNA from 1 species